rnacentral:rRNA from 1 species
GGGAGUGAAAAAGAACCUGAAACCGUGUACGUACAAGCAGUGGGAGCACCCUUCGGGGUGUGACUGCGUACCUUUUGUAUAAUGGGUCAGCGACUUAUAUUCUGUAGCAAGGUUAACCGAAUAGGGGAGCCGGAGGGAAACCGAGUCUUAAUUGGGCGUUAAGUUGCAGGGUAUAGACCCGAAACCCGGUGAUCUAGCCAUGGGCAGGUUGAAGGUUGGGUAACACUAACUGGAGGACCGAACCGACUAAUGUUGAAAAAUUAGCGGAUGACCUGUGGCUGGGGGUGAAAGGCCAAUCAAACCGGGAGAUAGCUGGUUCUCCCCGAAAGCUAUUUAGGUAGCGCCUCGUGAAUUCAUCUCCGGGGGUAGAGCACUGUUUCGGCUAGGGGGCCAUCCCGGCUUACCAACCCGAUGCAAACUGCGAAUACCGGAGAAUGUUAUCACGGGAGACACACGGCGGGUGCUAACGUCCGUCGUGAAGAGGGAAACAACCCAGACCGCCAGCUAAGGUCCCAAAGUCAUGGUUAAGUGGGAAACGAUGUGGGAAGGCCCAGACAGCCAGGAUGUUGGCUUAGAAGCAGCCAUCAUUUAAAGAAAGCGUAAUAGCUCACUGGUCGAGUCGGCCUGCGCGGAAGAUGUAACGGGGCUAAACCAUGCACCGAAGCUGCGGCAGCGAACGUAUCACCCAAGACAACUUUGCGGAGUUGACGAUUGACGGAGCGAAGCGACGUCAAAGCGUUCAUUAAAGUCGAGUUGGCUUAGGGAUACGUUCGUUGGGUAGGGGAGCGUUCUGUAAGCCUGUGAAGGUGUGCUGUGAGGCAUGCUGGAGGUAUCAGAAGUGCGAAUGCUGACAUAAGUAACGAUAAAGCGGGUGAAAAGCCCGCUCGCCGGAAGACCAAGGGUUCCUGUCCAACGUUAAUCGGGGCAGGGUGAGUCGACCCCUAAGGCGAGGCCGAAAGGCGUAGUCGAUGGGAAACGGGUUAAUAUUCCCGUACUUGGUGUUACUGCGAAGGGGGGACGGAGAAGGCUAUGUUGGCCGGGCGACGGUU